rnacentral:lncRNA from 1 species
GGAGUCAGGAUUAGAACCCAGGUCCUUCUGGCUCUCAGGCCUGUGCUCUCUCCAUUAGGCCACGCUGCUUCUUUUGACCCUGGGCUUCCUGACUCCAAGGCCUAUGCUCUGUCCACUGAGCCACAUUUCCUACUCCAAGAUGGGAGUCAGCAGCUCUUUGGACAGCUGCUCCCAGAACUUUAUCUCUGAAUUUCCC